GAGCUCGGUUGGUUAGAGCGUGGUGCGGAUAACAGCAAGAUUGCAGGUUUGAUCCCUGUAUGCGACA